rnacentral:lncRNA from 1 species
CCCGUCGGUCUCCUUGCCCCUUCCUCCUUCCCCCGUUCCUCUCCAGGGCCACCAGGCCCCUCAGGAAGCACACACAUACCCCCAUUAUCCAAUUUGGGGAUGGCCCCCUAUCUCCAUGGGGAGGAGAGGGAAGGACCCUCAGCAGGGGGCAGGGCCCAAGGGGUCCCUCCUGCAGCAGGGGGCCCGGCAGGCUCCCAGCUGUGCUCUGUCUUGCCUGGGCCCCUCCCCGUGGCUACUGUUGCAGGAAGCAGCCUCCUGGGCAGCGGUCCCCAGGCUGGAAGGAGCGAGGGUGGCGGCUGGCAGGGGCUGCAACCAGGAAUGACAUCCGGAACACGGUGGGCAACGUGCCCUUGGAGUGGUACGAUGACUUCCCCCACGUGGGCUACGACCUGGAUGGCAGGCGCAUCUACAAGCCCCUGCGGACCCGGGAUGAGCUGGACCAGU